AUGGACGCGGCGGCGGCCGCCGCGGCCGCUGCCUCGUCGCCAAACCCUAGCUUCUCUCCCGGCGGCGGCGGCGGGGAGAGGGAGAAGGCGGCCAUCGCGGCGCACCCGCUGUACGAGCGGCUCCUGGAGGCCCACGUCGCCUGCCUCCGCGUCGCCACCCCCGUCGACCAGCUCCCCCGCAUCGACGCGCAGAUCGCGGCCCGCCCGCCCCCCCUCGCCGCCGCCGCCGCCGCCGCGGGCGGGCCCUCCGGAGGCGAGGAGCUCGACCUCUUCAUGACACAUUAUGUAUUGCUUCUCUGUUCAUUUAAAGAACAACUCCAGCAGCAUGUGCGUGUUCAUGCAAUGGAAGCAGUGAUGGGUUGUUGGGAGCUUGAACAAUCCUUACAAAGUCUAACAGGGGCAUCUCCUGGUGAAGGCACUGGGGCGACUAUGUCCGAUGAUGAAGAUAACCAAGUGGAUAGUGAGACCAACAUGUUUGAUGGAAACGAUGGGUCAGAUGGUAUGGGCUUUGGUCCCCUGAUAUUGACCGAGGGUGAACGGUCUUUGAUUGAACGUGUUCGGCAUGAGCUGAAGAGUGAGCUUAAACAGGGGUACAAAGAAAAGCUGGUUGAUAUCAGGGAGGAGAUCAUGCGCAAGAGGAGAGCUGGUAAACUUCCCGGGGAUACUGCAGCUACAUUGAAAGCCUGGUGGCAAGCUCAUUCCAAGUGGCCGUACCCUACCGAAGACGACAAGGCUCGCCUGGUGCAGGAGACGGGGUUACAACUGAAGCAGAUCAACAAUUGGUUCAUCAACCAACGCAAAAGGAACUGGCACAGCAGCAACACAGCUUCCUCUAGCGAAAAGACCAAGAAGAAAAGAAACGUUACAGGUAAUGACGGCACGGAGCAAUCGUGGUAG
rnacentral:rRNA from 1 species